rnacentral:misc_RNA from 1 species
GAUGAAGAACGUAGCGAAAUGCUAUAAGUAAUGUGAAUUGCAGAAUUCAGUGAAUCAUCGAAUCUUUGAACGCACAUUGCGCCCGCUAGUAUUCUGGCGGGCAUGCCUGUCCGAGCGUCAUUUCAACCCUCAAGCCCCCGGGCUUGGUGUUGGGGAUCGGCGAGCCUCCGCGCCCGCCGUCCCCUAAAUCUAGUGGCGGUCUCGCUGUAGCUUCCUCUGCGUAGUAGCACACCUCGCACUGGGAAACAGCGCGGCCACGCCGUUAAACCCCCAACUUCUGAACGUUUGACCUCGGAUCAGGUAGGAAUACCCGCUGAACUUAAGCAUAUCAAUAAGCGGAGGA